UACGUAGGGCGCAAGCGUUGUCCGGAAUUAUUGGGCGUAAAGAGCUCGUAGGCGGUUUGUCACGUCGGCUGUGAAAACCUGGGGCUCAACCCCGGGCCUGCAGCCGAUACGGGCAGACUAGAGUUCGGCAGGGGAGACUGGAAUUCCUGGUGUAGCGGUGAAAUGCGCAGAUAUCAGGAGGAACACCGGUGGCGAAGGCGGGUCUCUGGGCAGUAACUGACGCUGAGGAGCGAAAGCGUGGGGAGCGAACAGG
rnacentral:rRNA from 1 species